GUAGGUCAGACAGAAGUGGAGCACAUUGUGGUGAGUGCUGCUUUGCUCUUUAUGGAAAUUAUCUUACUAUAUGUUUAACAUUUUCUGUCUGUUGUACCUAUUCAACCUCAGGUAUGAGAUAUGAUAUCCAGAUGAACCAGACUCCAUCCACUCUAUCUGUAUUUAUUGGAGAAUGAGUAAUCAUCAAUUGCCAUGCCAGUGAGAACAUUAAUACUUGGUUAUCCUGGCACCAGCAGAAACCAGGGAAUGCUCCACAACUACUCAUCUAUAAGGCAUCCAAUUUGCAUACUGAGGUUCCAUCAAGGUUCAGAGGCAGUGGAUCUGGAACAGAUUACUCUCUCAUCAUCAUCAGCCUCGAGCCUGAAGACAUUGCUACUUACUACUGUGUACAGGCUAACAGUCUUCCUCCCACAGUGAUAAAAGUGAUAACACAAACCUCCUAGUGGGUCAACAUUGGAAGUCUGUUCUGCAUCAGUUGUCGCAUGUAGUUUCUGCACCUAUUAAUAUUUAUAAUACCCUCCUGGGUUUAUAAACCAUUUUGACGGUUAUGGGAAUCUGCCAGUGUGGUCUGUCUCUUUUCAAGCCCAAGAUCACAGGGGUGACAAAAUGUGUAACAAUUUACUUAAGAGUACUUUAUUUUCUGGUUGACUAAUCCUAACUGUGUACUUUAUUUUCUGGUUGGCUAAUCCUAACUGUGUACUUUAUUUUCUGGUUGGCUAAUCCUAACUGUGCUGGUUUUUGCAAUUCAUAUAGCUGAAAAAAAAAACAAAAAGUUUCUAAGGGUACUUCAAGAUUGACUAUUUUUAAUUCAGAAAACUCAUAUAUGCAUAAUAGCAACAUCAUGGCUUGUGGAUUUAUAUUGUAUUCUGUGAUAUCUCUUGAAACUUACAUUUCAUAUAGCUGACAUUAGCUUGGGAUAGUGUUAUGGUAGGUUCGAGAAAUCUCAGUUGUGUGUGUGUGCAAGGUGGAAGAGGUAUUUCAUAGGCACACAACUUGGGUAUAUGUUAUCUUUGGCUAUUUCAAACCUAUUUCUUUCAGAUCCACAUGGUUUAAAUGGAGUUACUUAAAGUGCCUUCCCUGUCAAUGAGGCCCCAAAGCUGAAAAGAUUGUUCAAAUUAUAUCUGUGCUGCUUAAGUCAUUUCUGCGAAGUAUUUUCAUCAUGGAAAAGCAAAGGUUAUGAACAGUAAGGAAUUAAUAUUUUUGGUUAUUUAAAGAAAGUUAAUUUUAUAAGUUCAGUAUUCUUAAUGCUCAUUCGCAGUAUAUCUGACCAAACCAUGAUUUCUGUUGAGAAAUAAGUUGAUGAAUGAAUCUUAAUAUUCUUUGUUCCAUAAAACAGUACACUGUAAUUUUUCAGCUCCUAAAAUAUCACCCUAUGGAGCUUUAUACAAAUGAUUAAAGUUUCCAUUAAAUAUAACACGAUAGAAAAUGAGAACAUUAUACAAAAACACAAUGUAGGAAAUAUUAUAUUGGAAGUACUGGUAGUCAAGGAGUAGGCAGUAGAUAAUCUCUUUAUAAGGAAGCAUCCAUAUGGAGUAGUACAGUGAGUAGAAAAGGAAGAAUGACAUUGACAAUGUAACAGUCUUAUUUAUAGUUUCCUUUCUUAAUAUGCAAAUAAGCCAAAAUUCAACCAAGAAGACAAAGUGCUAAUUCUCUUUCUAAAUAGCUGCCUGGUUACUGAGAUUAAAUGUGUUCAUUAAUUGACAAUUUUGAACAACAAUUUGUUUUUCUAAUAUAAUUUCCAAUAGUGUUGUUUAAUUCAGGGAAUUUAAUGAGAUUUGAGAAUCAAAUUAGGAGAGAACAGUAGGGACCUGCAACAAUAAGCAGGUUAUGUGAAUAGAUAUAAAGAGUGUAUUGCCACCUUGGUCAUUCCAUUGUGCUAUUGGAACAAGUUUCU
ensembl:lncRNA